GACGAACGCUGGCGGCGUGCCUAAUACAUGCAAGUUGAGCGCUGAAGGGUGGUUCUUGUACCAACUGGAUGAGCAGCAAACGGGUGAGUAACGCGUGGUGACUCUGCCUUUGAGCGGGGGACAACAUUUUGAAACGAAUGCUAAUACCGCAUAAAAACUUUAAACACAAGUUUUAUGAUUGAAAGAUGCAAUUGCAUCACUCAAAGAUGAUCCCGCGUUUUAUUAGCUAGUUGGUGUGGUAAAGGCUCACCAAGACGAUGAUACAUAGCCGACCUGAGAGGGAGAUCGGGCACACUGAGACUGGUACAGGGCCCAAACGCCUACGGGAGGCAGCAGUAGGGAAGCUUCGGAAAGGGCCGAAAGUCUGACCGAGCAACGCCGAGGGAGCGAAGAAGGAUGUCGGAUCGUAAAACUCUGUUGGUAGAGAAGAACGUUGGUGAGAGUGGAAAGCUCAUAAAGUGACGGUAACUAAGCAGAAAGGGACGGCUAACUACGUG
rnacentral:rRNA from 1 species